ensembl:Y_RNA Y_RNA Y RNA
AGUUGGUCCUCAGGUAGUGAGUUAUCUCGAUUGCUUAGUCAGUUACAGAUUGAACUUCUUUUUUCUACUCUUCCCUGCUUUUCAUGACUGCUCUCAACUAGUUUUUU